UGGGGAAUAUUGGACAAUGGGCGCAAGCCUGAUCCAGCCAUGCCGCGUGAGUGAUGAAGGCCCUAGGGUUGUAAAGCUCUUUCACCGGUGAAGAUAAUGACGGUAACCGGAGAAGAAGCCCCGGCUAACUUCGUGCCAGCAGCCGCGGUAAUACGAAGGGGGCUAGCGUUGUUCGGAUUUACUGGGCGUAAAGCGCACGUAGGCGGACUAUUAAGUCAGGGGUGAAAUCCCGGGGCUCAACCCCGGAACUGCCUUUGAUACUGGUAGUCUUGAGUUCGAGAGAGGUGAGUGGAAUUCCGAGUGUAGAGGUGAAAUUCGUAGAUAUUCGGAGGAACACCAGGGGCGAGGGCGGCUCACUGGCUCGAUACUGACGCUGAGGUGCGAAAGCGUGGGGAGCAAACAGG
rnacentral:rRNA from 1 species